rnacentral:rRNA from 1 species
UACGAAGGGGGCUAGCGUUGCUCGGAAUCACUGGGCGUAAAGGGUGCGUAGGCGGGUCUUUAAGUCAGGGGUGAAAUCCUGGAGCUCAACUCCAGAACUGCCCUUGAUACUGAGGAUCUUGAGUUCGGGAGAGGUGAGUGGAACUGCGAGUGUAGAGGUGAAAUUCGUAGAUAUUCGCAAGAACACCAGUGGCGAAGGCGGCUCACUGGCCCGAUACUGACGCUGAGGCACGAAAGCGUGGGGAGCAAACAGGAUUAGAAACCCCAGUAGUCC